rnacentral:lncRNA from 1 species
GACUGGCUGACGUGCUUGAAGAAGAAUGCGGUCAAUGUCUGGCUG